GGCCGCGUCAGGGGCGCGCCUGCGCCGACCGCUGUCGGGCCACUUUUGAGGAAAAGACGUGGUGCGAGGCCUCCUCGUUAGCGCAAGCGCGGACGUUGUUCUGGAGGACGGCUCCACAGCGGCGCCUGGUGGCGGCGUGGAUGGCGCGGCGGGGCUGGGGCCGGUGGGCGCGGGGGCCUGGGAGUGCUCAGGGAACUGGGGCACCUGUGGGGGCCCCGGCGCGUGCGUGUGGACCGGGCCCGGCGCGAUAUGUGCGUGUGCGCGUGGACUCGGGGAACCGGUGUGGGCUCGGGGGGACCGGCGUGAUCUGUGCGUGUGCGCGUGGACUCGGGGGACCGGUGUGGGCUCAGGGGGACCUGGCAUGACCCGUGCAUCUGUGCGCGGAGGGACGCGGGGUCCCUGGGGACCCGUGUUGCCCUGGAGGCCCCUCGUGUGCGCCCGGGACGCCGGCCGCAUCCUCCAGUUGUGCCCACACCCCGGUGCGAGGCGCUGCUCUUGGACACCUGCUGACUGAACCCAGGGCCCUUUUUACUUUAAAUUGAGCUCGGUUUUUGGUUAAGUUACUCAAGUUGGCCUUGAACUUGUAGUCCUGUCUCAGCUACCCAGUCGCUGGGUUUAUAGGUCCUGAGCCACUGUGCUAGUUAAAACGUUAUCUUUUUUAGAGGUGAUUUAAUUGCUUAUGCUGUAGUGUCUAGUCAUUAACAUAUUAUUCCAAAGAUUAAGUUUACUGGUU
rnacentral:lncRNA from 1 species